AUUGGGCACCCUAAAGAAUACCCCGCCCCUGGCCUUGUGCGAUUGGGAGAGGACACCACAGCUCCGCCCCGCAAAGUCCGCUCCUCUCGGUGGUUGGUCACGCUUGACAAGGCCCGGGCUCCACCCCCCUCUUUCCAAUUGGUGACAGGAUUCGCAACUCCGCCUCGUGCUUUUUCCCUGUUUUCCAUUGGUUCUAUACCGACAACCGGGCCCCCUUUUGCUUUGUUAGUAUUGGCCAAGAGCUGUAGAAGGCUAGCCACUUCACCUGCCUCCCAUUGGUGGAGCCUUCGGACACCUCCCAGCUACGAUGAUGUCACCUUUCUCCAGGUCCGGUGAGCCCUGAGUGGCUGGUGGCCAGCGGCCUCGCUACUCCUCCUCAGGUCUGGCAUUGGCUGGAAAUGGCUGGCCCCGGCGCUGGGUGGUGCUGAUUCACCGGCCGCGGCGGAGUUAGGCUCCGCCCGACCCCUCCCGGUCCUGCCUCUGACCUGUUGCGAGUCCUGUCUCUGGGGAAAACUUCGAGGACCUGCCAAGUGUCCCUCGAAUGGAAGGCUGGCACCUCGCGUCACCUGGGAGCUCAUCCCCGCUCGGGUUCGGGACCGGAGCCUUUGGUCUGGUGGCUGUGACCCCGGAGGCCCCCGGCUUUUCCAGAAUCUGGCAGCCGUGAACCCCCAGCGCAUCCUCAAGGGAGGGAGAGCUUCAUCAGCAACUCAGCAAGUGGCCGGAAGCGCUGGAAUCCGGCUGCGGUACACGGAAUUGAGUUUCUCUCCGAAGGCGCUUACCUCCCCCGCCCUGCCCCGGGAGAGUGGUGGCAGAAUUACUCUUAUCACGCAAGUGGGUCUUAAGAGCUCAGAAAUUAAAGUUGAAGCUGAGUAAGCUGAACCCCAAGAUUCUUUGGCCUAAAUCUCUUUUAAGGUUUUCCCUUCCCUUUUAAUUCUAGAUAAAAACAGGAAGGCUGCAGGAAGGUGUGUUUGUGUGAGGAGUGGUACCAAUAUAAAUGCUUACUAUAAUAUUAUGUAUAAAAACCAAAAGUUUAGGAUUGUUCCAUAAACCUCAUCAAGAUUUUUGAAAUGAAAGCUCUCUGGAGACUCAAGUAAUGUACAUUGUUUCACAUAAUGACAUUUCCUUUAAGUUGGGAGUCCUCAAGGUUGAAAUGAGUAAAGCAUGAUUUUUUUUUAAUAAAAUGUAUUUUUUGUUGCCAAUAUGUGAUAGUAAUAGCUUACUGUAUUACAUAUGUUAUUUCUAAUUCUCAAUAUAAUCCCAAGAGGUAGGUUGUAUUAAUUACCUACAUUUUGCACAUGAAGAGACAGACCCAGCUAGGCUAAAUGAUUUUCCUCAUCCUCCAUUCAGCUGCAGAGAUGGGAGCUGAACCUAGGUUUGUCGUACCCACAGCCCUGGCUACUAAUCCCCAGGUGUUAGUUGUACUAAAGACAUGCAGAAAAAGAUUUCCAGAUUGAGUCACAAAACACUGAUACUCAAGCUCUGGGUAAAGAGAAAGACAAAUGU
rnacentral:lncRNA from 1 species